AUACUUACCUGGCAAGGGAAACACCAUGAUCUGGAAGGUGGUUUUCCCAGGGCGAGACUCACCCAUUGCACUGCGGGUGUGCUGACCUCUGCGAUUUCCCCAAAUGCGGGAAACUCGACUGCAUAAUUUGUGGUAGUGGGGGACUGCGUUCGCGCUCUCCCCUG
rnacentral:snRNA from 1 species